rnacentral:rRNA from 1 species
GACGUAGGGCGCGAGCGUUGUCCGGAUUUAUUGGGCGUAAAGAGCUCGUAGGCGGCUUGUUGCGUCAGCUGUGAAAACCCGCAGCUCAACUGUGGGCUUGCAGCUGAUACGGGCAGGCUUGAGUUCGGUAGGGGAGACUGGAAUUCCUGGUGUAGCGGUGAAAUGCGUAGAUAUCUGGAGGAACACCGGGGGCGAAGGCGGCAUCCUGGACCGGUAUUGACGCUGAGGCGCGAAAGCUAGGGGAGCAAACGGG